rnacentral:rRNA from 1 species
ACGUACACUUCUGCGGGAGGCAGCAGUGGGGAAUAUUGCACAAUGGGCGCAAGCCUGAUGCAGCCAUGCCGCGUGUAUGAAGAAGGCCUUCGGGUUGUAAAGUACUUUCAGCGGGGAGGAAGGCGAUAAGGUUAAUAACCUUGUCGAUUGACGUUACCCGCAGAAGAAGCACCGGCUAACUCCGUGCCAGCAGCCGCGGUAAUACGGAGGGUGCAAGCGUUAAUCGGAAUUACUGGGCGUAAAGCGCACGCAGGCGGUCUGUCAAGUCGGAUGUGAAAUCCCCGGGCUCAACCUGGCAACUGCAUUCAAAACUGGCAGGCUAGCGUCUUGUAGAGGGGGGUAGAAUUCCAGGUGUAGCGGUGAAAUACGUAGAUAUCUGGAGGAAUAACGGUGGCGAAGGCGGCCCCCUGGACAAAGACUGACGCUCAGGUGCGAAAGCGUGGGGAGCAAACAGGAUUAGAUACCCUUGUAGUCCCAUG